GCUCCCCCGGUGCGGGGGGUGCGGCGGCUUCUCGGAGUGUGUCGGCAGAAAAGCUUAAAAAAAAAAAAGAAAAAGCCGAAAGCUCGCUUUCGAGCAGGCGCAAAUAGCGCGGGUGCAUAGCUUGCGUCUCAGUUGUGUUAUAUAUUUUUUUUUUGUCUUCGUGACGCAAUGGUAUUCAUCCCCCCCCCCCCCCAGACACGUGCUUUUGGGAGAUGGUCCCCCAGUGCGAGAGGUUUUUAGAGCUUUAGGUCUGUUUUCCCCGUCACCGAGCGGGGAUCUCUUACGGGUUUUCCACUUCCAAAUCGCCUCCAGCAGAUAGGGUAUUGAUUCGGGGGCUCGCCAUGGGAAUCAGUCUGGGAAGGGAAGUGAAAGCACUUGGUAGAGACGCUGGGGGAAAAAAAAAAAAAGUAAAUAAAUAAGGAUGCGCUUGCUUUGGUAGCAGCCGGAGGUUCACGUCUGCGGCGCCGAGGCAGAGCCCGCUGGAUCCGAUGGGAUCCGGAUCGGAUGCUGCUGGAUCUGCACAGACACGGAUCCUGAGCGAGCCUUCCCAGGGCUGCUCGGUGGCUCCUGCGCCGCCGUCAAGGCUUGAAAAAUUUCGGAGCUGUGCGUCUGAAGCUUUUUCUAUUUUGGACUACGAGUCCGUGUGUUAUUUGAGACGAGUUGACAGUAAGAGCCUUCUUUGCAUUGCAGGCUGGCUUGGCUAGAAGACCAGCUUUAGCUGAACGUAGAACUAAUUUCCUAGACUUUUUUUUUUUGUUUUUAAACUGUCAUCACUAAACUAACUCCAGGUUAAGAUUAAGCUCUUGCAGUGCUGUUUUCCUGACAGUUUGAAAACUGGUAUAUGGCUGUGCUCAGGAGGCUGUGUUUUGAGUGAGGUCUUUCUGCUGGGUUUAGGGAAAUAAAGAAACGCAUGGGCCACAUUCCAAGGAAGUGAAUAUUUUGUUUUCAGAACUUUUUUUUGCAUCCCACUUUUCACUCCUUAUAGGUGGAGUUCCAUGAGGAAAUGUGUGUUUUCUCCAGAUUUACUUGUUUCACACCAUUAUUAGGCUGCUCAAUGCAUCAGCACUGAUAUGUGGGGUUUGGACUCUUUUUAGGGAGUGUUGGUGAUCGUUUAAGUGUAUUUUUGACGCUGGCUGUGGAAUUGUUCCAGUAGAAAUAACUGGUUGGUGUAUAGCAAAGAUACUUGUUUGUGACAUCUGAGAUGAGAUGUCAGAUUUUAAUUACUAACCAUAAAUGCAAAUUACUCCUGCCUUCCAGGUCGCCUUUUAAUGGAGCUAAAUGAUGAUCUGUGGUCUGACUCUAAACUAGUAUGAAAUCGAAAUUGGCGAGUACUGCCGUGUGUUUGGUAUUGGGUAAACUAUAAAUAAAACACAUAUAUAUGUGCUCAUAGUACAUGUGAAACCACAUUAGUUUUCUGUCCUCCAGCUCCCCAAAAUUUCUGACUCCUGGUCCAUGAUGGGAUGACCAGGUGUUGGAUACUCAGUUGUAAGCAGAACAUUUCUCAAAUUUCUAAGAUUGGCAGGUAGCUUUUUCUAAGGUUGUCAGGUAGCUUUUUCAGUGUGUUAAUGUUGCAGCACUGUGGAAAGCUCUUUUGAUACCAUUAAGAUAUUUCAGUGCAGAAUGCAACAUAGUCUGGAAGUACAAUUUCUAAAAUUGUAAUUUCUUUAUUAAGAAGAAAUUAAUGGCAAAGAAUUUUCUUUGUAGUCUGUGGCAUAGAGGAGUGGUAGACAACCUAAUUACAGGAUCAUUAUCAAAACAGUUUCAUAGUGAGCAUUAAUUAAGUCAAAUUAUUAAUUUCUUAAGUGUCAUUAAUUCAUUCUGCAGUGUGGAUAGAUGAACAUGUGAAGAUACUACUUUUUCUAAAGCCAUACUCUGUCUGCUUGGGCCCUUCCUCCCAUCAAAUAAAUAUUGGGAUGGAAUAUGGAAUUUUGGUUGCAUUUGAUAUUAAGUAUUAAUUUUUUGAAAAGGUCAUGGUAUAAACUUCAGAAUUUUAAGUUGAAAUUCAGAGAAGUAACUCAAGUUUUCUGUCGCAGGAUGUUUAAUACCCAAAGCAGUUAAGGUGUUAGCAGCUACUUAAGCUUAUAAGAAGAAGGGAAGCCAUUAGUUUUUGCUUCCAGCUUAGCAAAACACUUUCUAGAUAAAGCUGUGAACAGAAAAGCUUUUAAUAAGGGUGUGUAGUGCAUGCUAAUAGCAUUGGAUACUUACAUUCCUGGCAAUCUCAUGUCAAUCUCACACGAGUGUGAAGUACAUCCCAUCUCUGAUUAUAUACUUGGUUUGUCAACACAGAACCCUGUGUUAAAUCAAGACGGUGCUGUACUUAUAUGUGGAAGAUGUUCUCAAAGCUGUUGUGCUUUUUUUUUUUUACUGUGGCCAGGGGGCUUAUUUUCUCCAUUCUCAAAGUGACUUCAGUUCCUGCAGACUAGCAGGUCUCUACUGUUGAAUAAUGCUGUGCAUUUGGGAAAGGAGCUUGAAGAAUUAACCUUGCUCUUUAGCUGUGGAUUUUGUACCAAUUUAUCAGGUACAGCAUGUCUGUGCAAGGGAGCUGGAACAUCCUAGCACCCUUACAUAAAAUUUGCACAGCCUAUUGUUGUGCCUCUGCUCUUGACCCAGUGCAUCAAGAGUGGCAGAUACUUUGUGUAAAGAGUGAUCCAAAACUGUUUACCAGCAGUAUGGUUCACUGCUUUGAAUGCAGCUAUUUUAUCCAGCAGUUAGAGUUUGUGCUAUUCCAUUUGCUUUUAAUAGGUAAAUAAAUGUGAGGCAGCGUUGGAGCAUUGUUGAUGCUAGUGCCCAAUAUAGAACAGAUUUUUUUUCUUUAGCUUUGUUUAGAAGCUUUAUCUGUCUAACACAUCUCCUGAUUCUGUUCUCACAGAAAAGCAGUGUUGGAAGAAGAGUGGCUGUUUGAGGAAGACACACACAUGCACUGGAGGGGUCCCAUUUCAGAAGGGUUUGUCCUGCAUUCCUGGUGGGAUAGGUGUUUGUGUGGUCAUUCCAGCAGUGGCUUUUCUCAUAGGAAGGGGAUUAUUCUUGAAACGGGCUGUGGAAACCCAGCUGGGUGAUGCUGCAGUACUCUGAGGUGGAUGAAUUGCAUAACACUGGUCUUGGUUGAUCAUAUUAAACUCCAGAGAGAUGAGAGAGAGAAUUUGGUGAUGCUGUUGUAGUUGCUGGCUUGUAAAGAGAAUGUGUUGCUGGAGCUCUGGUCUCCGGAGAUGUUGAGGUGAGAGGAUGUUUAUUAGCAAAAAAGUGGGAGGGAAGUCAGCAUACCAUGACAUGCAGGUUUUUGUUGCCAUGGUAUCCCCUGCCCUCUUGAGGGGGAUCUGUCUUCAGACCAUGGGAAGAUGAAAAGUGUCCUUCUCUUAAUUUUUUUCCUGUCUUACGGCUUUUCUUGGAUCAGCUACAUCUGUACAUAAAGAUAUAGCCUGUAAAAAUACUGCACAUGCCUUUGUGCCCCUCAGUUUAUCAAUACCAUGUCAUAAUAUCACAGCCCUUAUUGUUCUGACAAGUGUAUACUGUUAGGGUAUUCAGACUUGCACACUGUAACCCACUGAAUUAAUUUAGGAUUUUUCUGUAUAGCUUUUAUUUGGGGAGGUUAUUUUUUUUUUUCCCUUAAGACUAGAUUUCGCUGUGUAUGAGUGGUUCUGAUUGGAUCUUUGUGCAGUCCCUCGCAGCUGUGGUGAGUGGAUGUGGUGUGAACCAAGCCCUCUGCUGGCAGCUCUGCUCUGCUGUUUGUUAAAUACUCACCGGGAGCACUGGCAGGGUAAGGUACUGAUCUCAGAGGAAGAUCCUUACACCACCUCCACCCCAUCCCCAUCAGGAUCAAAUUAUUAAUCAAAAUAAAAGGAAAUCCAAAGGUAUUUAAAAACAUAAAUGUGCUUUGCUUCCUCCCGCACAAAAAUCUGUGAACCUGUCAUUUGAAUUUGGAGACAGGUGUAAGAAAAAAGGCAAUUACUGGUAGUCCUGAUACAAACUGAGGGGGUUUUUUUUUGUUUGUUUUUACUCAAGCUGGAUGACUGUAAUUGAUUUCAGUUGUCUUUCGGGCUUUGUUAAAGUUUUCUCAAACAUUGCAGUUUUUCCUCUGACCUGACUUCAAAUGUUUAACAUAAGUGCAGUGUAAAGGUCUGUGUAUGGCACUGCUUUCUAACAAAAAUGUAUUCUGUCUUGAGAGUGCUGAACAACUGCUGCAUCUCUAAUAUUUGUUUAGUUGUAUUUUCUUUCAAUUUGUGGUUUAUGUUUGUUUAGCCUGUAAUAAAAGCAGAACUCAGCUAAAGAUGCAUAAAAGACUAAAAGAUGAUUGUAGGAUAUCAAGUUAGCUGACACUGUUAUGUAGAGUCUGUCUUUAAGACCUCCUUUCUUCCUUCUCGCAGUAGAUUGAGACCCUCUUGCAGAUGGUUUUUAUUGCACUGUGCUGAAUCUUGUCUACAGUCUGGAGGUCUCUUUGUUUCUUCAGUCCUUGUUAUUUUCAAUUUAAAUUACAUUUCCUUCUUUCUGUCCUUCAUAGAUGUGAGCAGAAUUUGAAUCUUCUCUCUGAAGUUCUCUGUACAAAAAUUAAACAAGAGAAGCUCUCUUA